rnacentral:misc_RNA from 1 species
CUCAACUUAUUUUCUCCCCGUAAAAUAAUAAAAAUCGAUAGACUUAUCUGUUGCAUAGUCACAGGGACUAUAAAUUGUGAUCGAUUAAUAGAUUGCUACGGGCAUGUUGAUGAUGACUGUCCGUAAGAUGGCGCUAUAAGAAACCAGAGAUGCUAAAGAGCUUGAAACUAGCACCUAUCAAGGGAAGAUGAUGAGCCAGAUUCUGUGUUAUUUCUACAUUUUCGCUUAAUUUUGGGUUCCACGCCGACUUUUGUCGUAAACUAAAGACACCCAUAUGCGGUAGCCGUAUGCAGCUUGGAGGAUUAGUGGGGUUGGCCAUUUUGUACGUCACGUUGGCCUUCUUUUGUUCGAGAGCUGAAGCUUGGCUUUUGCCGUCUGGUCGGAACCCGAAAAUUCCGUGGAAGCGCAGGAUUGCCGGCUUGGAAAUUAAUGUCACCGACGAAGAUGAAGGGAUAGAUGUCUAUGUUGGUGAACCUUGCGAAAACACGUGUAGUAAUAAUUUACACAACAUUUAUUGCAACUUAACAACAAAAAGAUGCGAGUGCCUGAAAGAAUAUCCUGUAAGAGUCAAGAGAAAAGGAUGUGUGAAAGGAGCUAGAUUAUGGGAAAAAUGUGAUUACACAGAAUCUUGCUCCUACUAUAACGACCAUGCCAUGUGUAAUUCGCAUGGAGAAUGUCGCUGUGAAGAGGGCUACAAAAGUUAUUCCGACGAAACGGGGGAAAUGUGCAUUCCAGGAAAGGGAGAUGGAAUUCUUGAGAAUCCUGAUCUAAUGACAGGGAUAAUGGUUGUUGCUGGAGUAAUGAUUGGAACUGCCCUUUUCUGUCUAGUGCUCAGAUUAUUCAGUAGAGCCCGGUUUGGGAGAAAUAGAGGACGCUUUGGUAAUGCUGCAGAGCUUCCUGUUGUUCUAACUGGAACAGAGGCUCUAGCCUCCAUUCCAUGCUCACGACCGCCAUCUCGUGGCAGCGCUAGCAAUGAAUACCUACCAAGCUCUCGGUCUGCUUCAGUACGUUCCCAUGCUUCGGUUCGAAGCUAUGCCUACAUCAGAAAUCAGUCUCCAAUUCAUAAGUUACGAGGAAAACAUGAAAAGGUUCACGUGCGACGAACAGCGUCGUUACAACAGGACGAACAUUCAAGUCUCCAGUCUCUCAACUAUCAUAAUCCUAAUUCAACCGCAGAAGACCCGAAAACGUAAUCCAUGGAUGACAGGAUUUUUGUUUUUAAUGUGGUCUACUACUUCAGGCGUGUGAGAGAAGUUGUUCAAAGAUGAAAACAUGGAAAAAUUGACAAUAGGAAAGUGUUAUUCCUGAGACAGCAACAAAGGAUGUGUUGACAAAUAACAAGUGAUUGAUAAAUGUGUAAGUUUAGC